rnacentral:rRNA from 1 species
AAUUUCCUACGGGACGCAGCAGUGGGGGAUAUUGCACAAUGGGGGAAACCCUGAUGCAGCGACGCCGCGUGAGUGAAGAAGUAUUUCGGUAUGUAAAGCUCUAUCAGCAGGGAAGAAAAUGAUAGUACCUGACCAAGAAGCCCCGGCUAACUACGUGCCAGCAGCCGCGGUAAUACGUAGGGGGCAAGCGUUCUCCGGAUUUACUGGGUGUAAAGGGAGCGUAGACGGUGAUGUAAGUCUGGAGUGAAAGCCCG